rnacentral:rRNA from 1 species
UCAAGCGUGAGGUAAGAGCAUUUGGUGGAUGCCUUGGCACAUACAGGCGAUGAAGGACGUGGCACGCUGCGAUAAGCGUCGGGGAGUUGUGAGCAAACUUUGAUCCGGCGAUUUCCGAAUGGGGAAACCCACCUUCACCAUUUCAUUCGUUGUUCGAGCAAUCGGACAGUGAGUGAGGUGGACAAGGUAUUACCGAGUUGAAUAAAAUAGACUUGGUGAAGCGAACCCGGGGAACUGAAACAUCUCAGUACCCGGAGGAAAAGACAUCAACCGAGAUUCCCGUAGUAGUGGCGAGCGAACCGGGACCAGGCCAAUGCCUUCAUUUCAACUAGCAAAACACUCUGGAAAGUGUGGCCAUAGCGGGUGACAGCCCCGUAUGCGAAAGUGACAAUGAAGGAUUCGAGUAGGGCGGAACACGUGAAAUUCUGUCUGAACAUGGGGGGACCACCCUCCAAGCCUAAAUACUCGUAUGUGACCGAUAGCGAACAAGUACCGUGAGGGAAAGGUGAAAAGCACCCCGAUUAGGGGAGUGAAAUAGUACCUGAAACCGAAUGCUUACAAGCAGUGGGAGCUCCUUUAGGGAGUGACCGCGUACCUCUUGCAUAAUGGGUCAGUGACUUAAUCUACCAUGCAAGCUUAAGCCGUUAGGUGUAGGCGCAGCGAAAGCGAGUCUGAAUAGGGCGACUGAGUAUGAUGGAUUAGACCCGAACCCCGGCGAUCUAGGCAUGACCAGGUUGAAGGUGCAGUAACAUGCACUGGAGGACCGAACCGUUUAAUGUUGAAAAAUUAUCGGAUGAGUUGUGUUUAGGGGUGAAAGGCCAAUCAAGCCGGGAAAUAGCUGGUUCUCCGCGAAAUCUAUUGAGGUAGAGCGUCGGAUGUAUGCCGAUGGGGGUAGAGCACUGGAUGGGCUAGGGCUGCGCGAGCGGUACCAAACCUAACCAAACUCCGAAUACCAUCGAGUCUUAUCCGGCAGACAGACGGCGGGUGCUAAGGUCCGUCGUCAAAAGGGAAACAGCCCUAACCUACAGCUAAGGUCCCCAAGUCAUAUCUAAGUGGGAAAGCAUGUGGGAAUCCCAAAACAACCAGGAGGUUGGCUUAGAAGCAGCCAUCCUUUAAAGAAAGCGUAACAGCUCACUGGUCUAAAUAAGGGUUCCUGCGGCGAAGAUGUAACGGGGCUAAAGAUAUGCACCGAAGCUUAGGGUUCAUAGUUUACUAUGAGCGGUAGCGGAGCGUUCCGUAAGUUGAUGAAGCCGAAGGGUAACCGACGGUGGAGAUAUCGGAAGUGCGAAUGCUGACAUGAGUAGCGAUAAAAAGGGUGAGAUGCCCUUUCGCCGAAAGACCAAGGGUUCCUGCUCAACGCUAAUCGGAGCAGGGUUAGCCGGCCCCUAAGACGAGCCCGAAGGGGGUAGUCGAUGGGAACCACGUUAAUAUUCGUGGGCCUGAAGAUGUGUGACGGAUCGUGGAAGUUGUGUGGCCUUAUUGGAUUGGUCAUGCAGCCAAGCGGUUCCUGGAAAUAGCCUCUUCAUAUAGACCGUACCCGAAACCGACACAGGUGGUCAGGUAGAGUAUACCAAGGCGCUUGAGAGAAGUAUCCUGAAGGAACUCGGCAAAUUGCCUCCGUACCUUCGGAAGAAGGAGGCCCUCUCACUGGGCAACCAGUGUGGAGGGGGCACAGGCCAGGGGGUAGCGACUGUUUAUCAAAAACACAGGACUCUGCUAAGUCGGCUUCAAGACGACGUAUAGGGUCUGACGCCUGCCCGGUGCUUGAAGGUUAAGAGGAGGAGUGCAAGCUCCGAAUUGAAGCCCAAGUAAACGGCGGCCGUAACUAUAACGGUCCUAAGGUAGCGAAAUUCCUUGUCGGGU